GAGCUAUUCAAGAAGGGCAACAAUCUAAGCAUCUCUUCAAAUGAGCAAUAGCUAAAUGCUAUGUUCAAUGCAGGUUGGGUGCCCCGGUCAUUCAAGUGGUGUUCUGUACAGUCAACAAGGCAGUACUAUGUUUGUCUUGUUGCUCAUUGACAAAUUUAAUAUGGGUGUCAAUUCUUUCAGUUUGUGGUCCUUUCAAGUGGACAAAUCUUAAAAAAACAAUAUAAUUGGCAAAGUGACA
rnacentral:misc_RNA from 1 species